UUAACCCUCCAGUUAACCAGGCAUAAAUGAUGAAAUCUCACAUUUAACAAUGAACACAUGAUGGCUUUUUGUAGACCUGGUAACCGGGAAGUUGAUUUGUCAGAGGAGUGAUUCAGAGGGCCCAGAUAAAGGACUUUCUUCACACAUCUGAAGUACGCCACCACGAGGAGAGCUCACAAAGAUAAAAUGGAAGAAUAGCACCCCCAGAUUUGAUUGUCCAGCAUGUUUGAGCUGUUAAUCUGCUUAGUAUGUCUUUGAUAAAUUGCUGUAUAGAUUGAUAUGUAAAAUGUGACUUCCACAUGGUCUUGAAUCAGAAACACUUGAUUGCGAUUACCAGGAAAUUUGUGGACGAUCUAGCCUUUCAGUUUACAGGCAGCUGCCGUGACAGGGUCUUUGGAUACAUGAAAAAUAAAGAUCUGAAAGCUUCUUUCAAGUCACUGCUCGAGUAUUUUGAUGUGUACUGAAAAUAUAAAGAAGAUCAGAUGAAGAGAUGCCUCAUAUACAGUUUACCCAUCAACCAGAGAUACACCUGAGAAAGAGACCAAGGUUGUGGACUUGUCAUCAUAAAGUGGUUGAGAGCUGUUAUGUGAUAUGAUUGACAGAGAAAAUUAAGCUGUGAAGGUUUGUUAGUCAUAACAUGAGUUGACCAUCACCCAGGUAUAGUAGCCCCGAAGGUAAAUGCAUGUACAUCUGACAAAAAUCUUGAUUAAUUAUCUACUCAUCACAUGUUAACAAAAUGCCAAUGUCUUUGACAGCUUAGGACAUCUUCAUUAUUGGAUAAUGAGACACUUUUUAGCUGAUGCACAAUUUUAAAGGUUCCCUGUGAUUUAUUGUUUUAAAUUUUUUUGAAAAUUGCAUUUUGAAAAGUGGAGUAAAAUUAAAUUUUAGAUAGUAUUGCGUCCUAGUUAUACAACAUAAGAUUAAAAAAAUGCCACAUCCACUUUUUGAAACACUCCACCCACUUUCAGAUGUUUAGGAAACAGUACUGAGAGUAUUUAUCUGGGUUUGCACUUUACCCCCCUAGUAUGUCUAUUGAGGGCUCAAGUGCACCCCCUUUAAAGGUCCAAUUUAGGAAUGUCAAAGCUUAAGUUUUCAACUCCAUCUGUUCAAGCAGUUUCUUAAAGAUUUUUUUUAAAUCUCAAGGAUUGCUUAAGAUGAUUUGUGGAAGCAUGAGAAAUUUCUUUAAUUUUCUGAGAAAAUAUGAAAUUGUGUGAGUUUGUUUCUGUCAUAAAAUUAAGGAAAUGUUAAAAUGGCACAUAUAUAUUUAUCUUCAAAGUAACAGACAAUACUAGAAUCAAAAGAAAACACAAGUGCAGUGAUGUUUCAUUUAAGAUAUGUUUGGUUCAGCACGGAGGAAAUUAUUAAUUACAAGUGUCUUUGUAAUUAUCUCGAAGAAGGUGUACAAAAUUCCAAACCCAGGGUAUAAAACCACUUAAAGAUGACAGCAUCACAGUAAUUGAGACUUGUUUAGAAACAGUUACUUGAAUAUCUGUGUGCUUGAAGAUUGUGUUUGAGCUAUCAAGAAAAAUCGAAAAAUAUAUCUUUGACAGUUAAUAGGUAGAAACUGAAAAGAAACUCUUGUGUUUGUCUCCUUCUUUCACUUGCAGCACUCUACAUUUCUCGAUGAAGUUAAUAGCAGUGGCAGUAAAUUGCUCUGACUUUUCUCUCAAAGAUAGGGAACUCUAAAACAGGGAGGGAAAGAUUAAAAAAACAACAACAUUAUCUCCACGCAAGAUCAGCUGAGUUGUAUCACAAUGAUAAAAAAAAUCUGCACCACAAGUAGCGAGACAUUUCCAUUGUAAACUACUGAUGCAAUGUUAAGGUUUUAAAAUGUCUUCUUCAUUGAUGGGGAUAAUAUAUAUUAAAUGAAUCAAGUGUUUAUAAAAAUAGAUCAAUUUUCCGGCUGCUUAACCCAACUAGUUGAGCUAAUACCAAUAAUCAAAUGAUUGGCAUAAUCUCAUUGAAGGGGGGAGAGGUUUGGUGAAACAGAUUUUCCAUAUGGACCAUUGACUUGUGAAGGCAUUGUAUCCUGAUUAAGGGGCUUUUUUUGGAGUGGAGGUUGAACUAGCAAUCUCAAUGAGACCCUUCCACCUAGGGGUUCUACCUAAUUGGGUUCAGCAAGUUGGAAGCAUUUUCAUUUGUUAUUCACAAUGUUCCUUGGCAGGUCCAAAAGAUUUUUUUAUGAACAUCACAACAUUAAUUUUUUGAUGGGGUUGAAUAAGGAGUUCUGAAGUGUGAAGCUGACUUUCAUCCAAAUUAAAAUAUUAUUGAUUCAGUUUUGUUGUUCUCAAUGGGGGUUGGGAACUUUAUGGUCAGUCUGAAGGACUGUACUAGGGCCCACUAUAGGGGACCCGCCCAUUUCCCGCCCCCUACAAUUGAGACCCUCAUAAUCCAAUAUCUCUCACUUAAUUGAGAUAAACAAUUUUAGGACCCCACAAUGUCAUUUCUUUUCACAUUAAAGUGUAAUUAUAAGAACGAUUAAAAAAUCAUAAAAUGUUUUAAUUCAUG